CAUGGCUGUCGUCAGCUCGUGUCGUGAGAUGUUGGGUUAAGUCCCGCAACGAGCGCAACCCUUAUCCCUAGUUGCCAUCAGGUAAAGCUGGGAACUCUGGGGAGGACUGCCGGUGAUAAACCGGAGGAAGCGGGGAUGACGUCAAGUCCUCAUGGCCCUUACAUCCCGGGCUACACACGUGCUACAAUGGCAGGUACAGAGGGCUGCGAAGCCGCGAGGUGGAGCGAAUCCCAGAAAACCUGUCUCAGUCCGGAUUGAAGUCUGCAACUCGACUUCAUGAAGGCGGAAUCGCUAGUAACCGCCGAAUCCAGCAGGUCCGCGGUGAAUACGGUUCCCGGCCUU
rnacentral:rRNA from 1 species